rnacentral:lncRNA from 1 species
UAACACUGUUCUAGUUCAUUUUGCUUUUAUAAUCUCAAGUCUUCAGGGACUUGGUGGCAGUGAUGUCAUUGAUAAUCCCAGCUCUAUGAGACCUUCAAUUUGAAGGUCCAGGAAUAGAUGUUAUCCGUUUCUGCCAGAGCCUAUAGCAAUGCUCUAGUUCAUUUUGCUUUUAUAAUCUCAAGUCUUCAGUUACUUGGUGGCAGUGAUGUCAUUGAUAAUCCCAGCUCUAUGAGACCUUCAAUUUGAAGGUCCAAGAAUAGAUGUUAUCAUUUUCUGUCUGAGCCUAUAACACUGUUCUCGUUCAUUUUGCUUUUAUAAUCUCAAGUCUUCAGGAACAUGUUGGCAGUGAUGUCAUUGAUAAUCCCAGCUCUAUGAGACCUUCAAUUUGAAGGUCCAGGAAUAGAUGUUAUCACUUUCUGUCUGAGCCUAUAACACUGUUAUACUACAUUUUGUUUUAUAAUCUCAAGUCUUCAGAAACUUGUUGGCAGUGAUGUCAUUGAUAAUCCCAGCUCUAUGAGACCUUCAAUUUGAAGGUCCAGGAAUAGAUGUUAUCACUUUCUGUCUGAGCCUAUAACACUGUUAUACUACAUUUUGUUUUAUAAUCUCAAGUCUUCAGAAACUUGUUGGCAGUGAUGUCAUUGAUAAUCCCAGCUCUAUGAGACCUUCAAUUUGAAGGUCCAGGAAUAGAUAUUAUUAGUUUCUGUCUGAGCCUAUAACACUGUUCUAGUUCAUUUUGCUUUUAUAAUCUCAAGUCUUCAGGGACUUGGUGGCAGUGAUGUCAUUGAUAAUCCCAGCUCUAUGAGACCUUCAAUUUGAAGGUCCAGGAAUAGAUGUUAUCAUUCUCUGUCUGAGCCUAUAACACUGUUCUCGUUCAUUUUGCUUUUAUAAUCUCAAGUCUUCAGGAACUUGGUGGCAGUGAUGUCAUUGAUAAUCCCAG